GACGAACGCUGGCGGCGUGCUUAACACAUGCAAGUCGAACGGAAAGGCGCUGCUUUUGCGGGGUGCUCGUGUGGCGAACGGGUGUGUAACACGUGAGUAUCCCCUCCUUGACGUUGUGAUAACUUCAGGAAACUGCGGCUAAUAUCGGAGAGGAUCUCCUGCUGCAUGUUGGGCGAUGGAAAGAGCCGGCGGUUGGGGAUGGACUCGCUGCUUAUCAGCUUGAUGGUGGGGUAGUGGCGUACCAGGGCUUUGACGGGUAGCCGGCCUGCGAGGGUUACCGGCCACAUUGCGACUGAGAUACGGCCCAGACUCCUACCGGAGGCAGCGGUGGGGAGUAUUACACAAUAGGCGGGAGCCUGAUGCGGCAACGCCGCGUGCGGGAUGACGGCCUUGGGGUUGUGAACCGCUUUCGCCUGUGCCGAGGCGUGAGUGACGGUAAUGGGUAAAGAAGCACCGGCUAACUACGUG
rnacentral:rRNA from 1 species